GGCUGCAUAGCUCAGCUGGUAGAGCAAGCGCUAUAGAAAAGCAUAGGCGGCGUCCAUGCGUAGGUUCGAAUCCCACUUAGGCUA
rnacentral:tRNA from 1 species